rnacentral:rRNA from 1 species
UGGGGAAUUUUGCGCAAUGGGCGAAAGCCUGACGCAGCAACGCCGCGUGAGUGAUGAAGGUCUUCGGAUCGUAAAGCUCUGUCGGCAGGAGAGACGGGGCAGUUGGCUAACAUCCAAUUGCUUUGACGGUACCUGCAAAGGAAGCACCGGCUAACUCUGUGCCAGCAGCCGCGGUAAGACAGAGGGUGCAAGCGUUGUUCGGAAUUAUUGGGCGUAAAGCGCGCGUAGGCGGCCGGGUAAGUCGAAUGUGAAAUCCCGUGGCUCAACCAUGGAAGUGCAUUCGAAACUGCCUAGCUCGAGUGUCGGAGAGGGUGGUGGAAUUCCCAGUGUAGAGGUGAAAUUCGUAGAUAUUGGGAGGAACACCAGUGGCGAAGGCGACCGCCUGGACGACAACUGACGCUGAGGCGCGAGAGCGUGGGGAGCAAACAGG